AUUGAACGCUGGCGGCAGGCCUAACACAUGCAAGUCGAACGAGUGGCGGACGGGUGAGUAAUGUCUGGGCAACUGCCCGAUGGAGGGGGAUAACUACUGGAACCGGUAGCUAAUACCGCAUACCAUCGGAUGUGCCCAGAUGGGAUUAGCUAGUAGGUGGGGUAACGGCUCACCUAGGCGACGAUCCCUAGCUGGUCUGAGAGGGUGACCAGCCACACUGGAACGGAGACACGGUCCAGACUCCUACGGGAGGCAGCAGUGGGGAAUAGUGCACAAUGGGCGCAAGCCUGAUGCAGCCAUGCCGCGUGUAUGAAGAAGGCCUUCGGGUUGUAAAGUACUUUCAGCGGGGAGGCGUUACUCGCAGAAGAAGCAUCGGCUAACUCCGUGCCAGCAGCCGCGGUAAUUC
rnacentral:rRNA from 1 species